rnacentral:tRNA from 5 species
GCCACCUUAGCUCAGUUGGUAGAGCUCCCGUUUUGUAAACGGGUGGUCGUCAGUUCGAGUCUGACAGGUGGCUCCA